rnacentral:rRNA from 1 species
CCACGCCGUAAACGGUGGGCACUAGGUGUGGGGGACAUUCCACGUUCUCCGUGCCGAAGCUAACGCAUUAAGUGCCCCGCCUGGGGAGUACGGCCGCAAGGCUAAAACUCAAAGGAAUUGACGGGGGCCCGCACAAGCGGCGGAGCAUGCGGAUUAAUUCGAUGCAACGCGAAGAACCUUACCUGGGUUUGACAUACACCGGAAAGCUGCAGAGAUGUAGCCCCCGCAAGGUCGGUGUACAGGUGGUGCAUGGCUGU